UACGUAGGGUGCGAGCGUUAAUCGGAAUUACUGGGCGUAAAGCGUGCGCAGGCGGCUUUGUAAGCCAGAUGUGAAAUCCCCGGGCUUAACCUGGGAAUGGCAUUUGGGACUGCAAAGCUGGAGUGCGGCAGAGGGGACUGGAAUUCCUGGUGUAGCAGUGAAAUGCGUAGAGAUCAGGAGGAAUACCGAUGGCGAAGGCAGGUCCCUGGGUUGACACUGACGCUCAUGCACGAAAGCGUGGGGAGCGAACAGG
rnacentral:rRNA from 1 species